rnacentral:rRNA from 1 species
CGGGAAUUUUGGGCAAUGGGCGAAAGCCUGACCCAGCAACGCCGCGUGAGGGAUGAAGUAUUUCGGUAUGUAAACCUCGAAAGAAUGGGAAGAAUAAAUGACGGUACCAUUUAUAAGCUCCGGCUAACUACGUGCCAGCAGCCGCGGUAAUACGUAGGGAGCAAGCGUUGUUCGGAUUUACUGGGCGUAAAGGGCGCGUAGGCGGCGCGGUAAGUCACUUGUGAAAUCUCUGAGCUUAACUCAGAACGGCCAAGUGAUACUGCUGUGCUAGAGUGCGGGAGAGGCAACCGGAAUUCUUGGUGUAGCGGUGAAAUGCGUAGAUAUCAAGAGGAACACCUGAGGCGAAGGCGGGUUGCUGGGCCGACACUGACGCUGAUGCGCGAAAGCCAGGGGAGCAAACG